UACGUAGGGGGGCAAGCGUUGUCCGGAUUUAUUGGGCGUAAAGCGCUCGCAGGUGGUCCGAUGCGUCGUGCGUGAAAGACCCUGGCUCAACUGGGGGGGUGUCGUGCGAUACGGUCGGACUGGAGGCCAGUAGGGGGAGUGCGGAAUUCCGGGUGUAGUGGUGGAAUGCGUAGAGAUCCGGAGGAACACCGGUGGCGAAGGCGGUUCUCUGGGCAUUACCUGACGCUGAGGAGCGAAAGUGUGGGGAGCGAACAGG
rnacentral:rRNA from 1 species